GACCAUCGCAAAGCGGCUCGGUUUCAUUCUGUCUCUACCGAGUUCGUCUCAAUGCUGUUAGGCCUCCGCGCCGAAUGUACCCAGCUAAAUGUUCCAUAAAAUCUCGUUAAAACCGACGGGAAGACAGCCGGACAAGGAGAACAAAACUUUGUUGGUGACUCCCGAGUAUACUGUUGGGAGAUGACUCGAUGUCUAGGUGUCUAAAGGGAUCUUUCGCUGAGUCCUCGGGGUUCCGAAGUCUUAGAGGAUGAUGAGAAUACGAUUGUUAAGAAGCGAGCAAUGAGCACGCACCUUGAAAACAGCGUUCGCUGGAUGAUAGAUAUCACCUGAACCAGAAAGUCCUCCUCUGAGCAACCGCGAGAGAAGAUUAUAGCGGCCAUGUGUGGACCAUGUGUCCCCCGGAGGUUGGAACAGGAUGGGAUUCCUACGAAUAAAUGACAUUCACGUUAUUUCAAACACUCACGAGCGUGUGGAACUACACCGCAGGCCUCAAGAUUCUCGAAAGGGUAGCACAAACGUACUGUACGCCGCAAACUACACUCGAAUUGUCGUCCAUACCCCUUCCUCGUUUCAUCGGUGCUCCGUUUUCACUGCCUGUCAGAAGGUUUCUUCGUUUCUGCUUAUCUAUAUUUUUCGAUGGCUGUAUGCACAUCGUUCGUAGCCAAUAGUUGUCACGAAAAUGAAUAGCGCAAGAAGACAAUGACAAGGAAUGUCUUCUUGGUGUUCCUCAGUACAACUAUUGAAUAAGAAGGAUCGCUUGUUCUAUAAAUGUACAUUUAUCUUUUAUCAAGUACGCUCUUUGUCCUUUUGU